rnacentral:miRNA from 1 species
AAACUGUCCUUUGGGGUGAGGUAGUAGGUUGUAUAGUUUUAGGGUCAUUCCCAAACUGUCAGAUGACUAUACAACUUACUGUCUUUCCCGGAGCGGCUGUAAU